AUAGGGCUAGAAAGAUUGUUUGUACAAUUAUUAUACUAUUUGUGUAUGGCUUAAAGACGGUUACGUUGUCGCCGGUUCUAACGUAGUUUUUCUGCUUUCUGCGUCUAGUAUUGUCAGGUUUGUAGUGCAUAUCAAGUACUGAAGUUACACGCUGUCCGUGAAUGGCGAAAGGUCGGGUGAGCGAAUCGCUCCGAAUAGAGCAGACCAGCAUUAUCAGGGAUCAAGCAUCGACCGCUGGCACUAUCGCUCGCAGCUUGUGAUGUCUUCGAAAUGCUGGACAGUGCCCACUCAAAUUUGUGCCACAGGUUCUCACGUUCUGCGCGAGCGAUGUGCUUCGUCUGGGCGUAAACGAUGAACUAGGCAUCAGUCAUGAGAGCAAGAACGGAAGCUUCGACACGUGGAUGGGUCGACACCUUCAUGGAGAAAGCAACCGUUCGGUCGGUCCUAACUGACUUUAACGUACGCGCAAGGAAAAGUAGACGGCCGAACAGGGAACGGAGUUCGCAACGGCCAUGGUAGGCGUUAAUGAAGAAGUCGACGACAGGUCGCGGUGGAGUGACCACAGGUCUAUCCGUGACACGCCUAUUUAAGUAUGACGGUGCUAGUGCUAGGGGCGUCGGCGCUCAGAGGGGAACGGAAAACUGCCACGGACGGCUGCUGUGGCGAAGGCCGCCAACCUAGGAAAUGCAGCCACAUGUGACGACAAGCCCAAUUUUUUUGUGUAUACAGGGUAAACCGCUAAGCCCGUCAGUCUACGGUAACAUGGCCGAAAAGCUACGACAAUUUUAAUAGCGCAAAAUUAUCUAUUUCAUGGCACGCGGGAAUCGACAAAACACUGUGUGGUCGCUAUAUGAUUCUAGUUACUUGAUUUCUACUUACAGAGAUCCGCAAGAUCACAUGUUUCUGUUGGAGAACAAUUGUGGCACCUGAUAUUUGCUAGAGAUAUUUAAUACCCUUUUUAGAUAGACUACUAUGACAUUAUAUAUUUAGAUGUAUGCAGAUAGUAGUUUCAAUACAGACAGGGAACAGCUGUUCUGCUUAGAUCAGCUGCGCCAGUCUGGCCAAUACUGUUUGUAAGUGCAUAGCUUUCACCUACGUACGUAUGUACGUACGUAUGCCUAGUUCUUCCCUCUCAUUUGCAUAUGUAUGUAAACGAGAGCAGAAUAUGUGACGACUGUAUUCAGGACAUUAACAACGGUAACGGCUCCUUUAGCCAACCGCACGCGCGCUUACGUGGAUCUGAAUUUGCCAAGAGAAUGAACACUGGAAUAUUUGUAUUCUUCAUUCUGUUGACCCAAAUAUGUAAGUAUGUAGCUGGCUAACCUUUACUAGUAUAGUGUAAACGUGUUCCCUGUUGGAUAUGUGGACUACAUAAUUCUGCGCUGUGGGGUCCGCUAGCGUGCAUAUAUGCGUAAGAUGUGUAUUGAUAAAGCUGCA